GGAUGAGCCCGCGGCCUAUCAGCUUGUUGGUGGGGUAGUGGCCUACCAAGGCGACGACGGGUAGCCGGCCUGAGAGGGUGACCGGCCACACUGGGACUGAGACACGGCCCAGACUCCUACGGGAGGCAGCAGUGGGGAAUAUUGGACAAUGGGCGGAAGCCUGAUCCAGCAACGCCGCGUGAGGGAUGACGGCCUUCGGGUUGUAAACCUCUUUCAGUACCGACGAAGCGCAAGUGACGGUAGGUACAGAAGAAGCACCGGCCAACUACGUGACAGCAGCCGCGGCCG
rnacentral:rRNA from 1 species